rnacentral:lncRNA from 1 species
AGAAUAUGCCAGUUGUAGAUUCAAAGGACAAGAUUAACAGUGAAAUUCCAUGCAAUGCCAACAAUGAUGUUUUUGACUAUCCAGCAGUUGAGGCAAAACCUGAAGAACUAGCAAUUGAAAAAAAAUAUGAAGAACCAGUAGUUAUAUUGGAGAAACCUGCAGAACUAGCAGUUGAGGAGACACCUGAAAAAUCAGUAGUUGAAGAGAAGCCUGAAAAACCAGCAGCACGGGAAGAAGCACUUGAAGAACCAGCAUGGGAAGAAACACCUGAAGAACCAACAGUUGAAGAGAAACUUGAUAAACCAGCAACUGAAAAAGAGAAACCUGAAAAGGUAACUUUCCGCGAAAAGGUGAGGAUCAAGCACUAUCACAAAGUUCGCCCAUCCUAAUAGUCUUGUAUGUGCAAGGAAUUCACAUAUGCUUUUUUAUUGAAAGACUAAGUGAAACCUUCAAUUCUUCUUGCAGAAUAUGCCUGUUGUAGACUCAAAUGGUAAGACUGGCAGUAAAAUUACAUGCACUACCAAAAAAGAUGUUGCUGAUAAUCCAGCAGUUGAGGAUGAAGAACCAGCAGUUGAGGAUAAACCUGAUGAACCAACAGUUGAAGAAAAACCUGAAGAACCAGCAAUUGAAGGAAAACUUGAGAAACUGGCAGUUGAAGAUAAACUUGAGGAACCAGCUUUUGAACAGAACCCUGAGGAAACAGCAGUUGAACAGAACCCCGAGGAACCGCCAGUUGAAGAAAAACCUGAGGUACCAGUAGUUGACGAAAAAGCUGAAGAACUAGUGGUUGAAGAGAAACUUGAAGAACCAUCAGUUAAAGAAAAGCCGGAAGAACAAAGCAGGGAAGAAACCGAAGCUCCCAUAAAAGAGGCAAAGCAUAACCAGAAUGCAAAUGAAGCAAGCAGCAGUCUGCCAACAGCUAUGCUAAGCCAUCCGCCUGCUCAAGGGACAACAAUGACCAACCCAAUAUUGGGAGAACCAAUUAGUAUUGACGAACCUAAAAAUGUGCAACAGCUAGAUUCUCAAGAAAUAUCAGAAAUCGAUGAUGCAAUGCAGAGAGAUGAAGAUAACAUAAAGCAGAAGGAUGAGGCUUCUUUCACUGAAGAACAGAAGUUUACACCACAGAGUGAGUAAUACUAGUUCACAGACAUGCUUUCCCUAUCCAAUUGAUUUUAUUUGCAAUGGAAAAUGGUGACACACUUUAGAUAACAGAUCAAAUCGAUUUAACCAUAGUCUUACUCGCAAAAAGUAGAGAAAAAUACAAAUGGAACCAAUCUCUAAAAGGAAGCUGAAAUGGAGAGAAGCACCAGAGACAAGAUGCCUUUCUGUUUUGGAGAAACCUCGAAAAAGUAGAAUGCACAUCCACAGUAUUUAGCAAUAAUGAUCAUCUAUCAUUACAUAUAUGAACAUAAUUUAUUUAUUACUACAUUGAUAUAAUAAAGAAAUCCUAUGAUAUGCUUUUGCUAAGAUAUUAGGGCUAGCAGCAUUCAUUAAGCCAUAAAUUCCAAUAUGGAUGUAACAAGCACUUUUUUGGGGGUUCAAAGAGAUGCACUUUCUAGUCACUUCAAUAAUGACUAGAUGUGGUAUUAACUACUACCGACAUAUUGCAGGUUAUGACAAUCAAAAUACUUCGACAGGGGAUAGUUUCUUAAAUAAGAACAUGUUCGCUGAAGGUGAAGCUGUGCACAUUAAUAGUCAAGAGGAUCUAAUCAGGCAAGAAACUUCAGGAAGCACAAAAUCUGAGAUAAAUCCAAAUUCAAGUAAAGGAACAGAAAAUGAGGCAAGUGAUAUUGCUAAUAGAGAAGGAUCAAGCAGACUUGGUUAAGUAAAUAAUUUAGUUGCUCUUCGUCCUUAUUGUUCUAAACUUGAUGAGCUACUUGGUUAUGCAGGUAAAUGACCAUCCAGAAGGACCAGAAGUACCAAAACAAACUGAUGAAACGGAAAAAUGUAUAGUACAGAAGCAAGAAGAUUCCGUUCGCAACCAGGACGAACUGGCUGUUGAAGAAAAAAUGAGAUCUUGUGAAGAGGUUGAAACAAAGGUAUUAGAUGAUCUGGCUUCUAUUAAUACUCUGAUCUUUCCUGUCCAUAGACUAAUGAUAGCCAAAACUAUAACUUCAAAACAUAUAAACAAACUUAAAGAUAUAAAUGCUGGUGAUGGAAUGGAACAAAUAAAAACAUUAUGGAAAAAGAAGAAAAGACUUUGGACAAAAUUCUGACGUCCACCAAAGAAGAAAUUGGUACCAAGAACUCUGAAGAAGGCCAAGUGGUUUCAGAGAUUCCCAGUCAAGAGUUUAAGUGACCAUAGAAGCCUGUUCUUAAUUCAUAUAUGUAACUCUCAGAUAUAAAGAUGCCUUCUCUCUUUCUACUAAAAUCACAAAAUUCCCUCUUUUUCAAAUCUGCAGAACUUUCAACAAGCUAAUUUAAUCAGAGAUGAAGCUUUAUUGAAAGAUGAGCAUGGAGUCGAGAACUUCGUGGUAGUUUCUUCAGAAGAAAUUAGUUGUGAAGGCUCUAUUGAAAAGUUAAACGAAAUGAGAACCUGAGAAUGAAUCAGCCAAUUAGCAUCAAGGCACUCAUAUGACAACCAUUCACUGAGGGUCUUAAGUUUAUUGCAUGCAUAUGAAUUAUCUUGCCACCUUGUCUUUCUGGGAGAAAUAUUAAAAUUCAAGUCUGAAAGUAUUUGAAGUAUAUAGUUCGUAGUAACUACUAACUACUAUAAAUUUAAAGUUCUCCAUAUAAAACAAAAUAAGUCUUCACUUCCUUUCCCAGAGUUUUUGUUUAUUCUGUAGUUAUUGCACAAAAUGGGAAACAAUAGAUGAUAAGAUGAUAUAUACAAGAAAUAGAAAAUUAAUUCACUGCUGAUAGAGUAUAUUCUAUUGCACAAAUAUCAACCAUCUUUGCUCUUUUAUUUGUUUAUUUAUUUAUUUUGUUCGAGGCUAUUACAAGUGAGACAUCCUAGUAUCAUUGGGAUUCAUAUGCGCUUCUUUUGAAAACUAAGUCGAAACAAAAAUUAGCCAAAUGCUGACAAAUGGGUAUGACUUAUUUUUCUGAAAAAGAACGGACCAUUGACAUUGCAAAUCGAGUAUUCCUUUGAGUCUUUGAAACAAUAAGUUGCAAGGGAAGGUUUAAGCAAAUUUCAAAUAUUGCAGGUAGAUGCCUUCAUGCAUUUAUUCUGAUCAUUUUAUUGGUUUUCUUCGGCAGACUCUUUUAACAUUGACAAAAAGAAAGAUUCUUCUUGGAGAAUUAUCAGUUAAUAAAGGAAGAGGCAGUGGAAACUCUUUCUCGGGGAAUUCCAAAAUAUGACCUUAAGAGAAUUCACAUGACGUUAAGCUAGAAACCAAGGACUUAAACCACUAGGCCACGGCAACUGUAUUUCAGUUAUAAACAGGAAUCUUGCUAAAAUAAGAAGUCCCAAAAAUCAUCAUGUAGACAUCUGUUAACUUGAUAUAAUGCUCGGCAGUUGACAAUUACUAAAACCAUCUGGAGAUUAAGAUAUGAACACCUUCUUCUCUCGUUAGAAUGAUUCUUAUAUGCAUAACUCCUUGUCCUUUUCUCACCAGUGUAUGUAACAUACUAAACAAUGGUAGCACUCAAAAUAUUCUGAGCAAUCACGAUCAUUGUUGCAGAACAGUUGAGCAUGUGUAAUAACCCUAUGCGAGAUGCAACCAAAAGAAUUCCACCAUCCUAUUAGUUCCGUAUGUGUAAGGAAUUCACAUCUACUUAUCUAUUGAAAGACUAAGUGAAACUUUAAAUUCUUCUUGUAGAAUAUGCCGGUUGUAGACUCGAACGACAAGACUGACAGUGAAAUUUCAUGCAAUACCGACAAUGAUGUUGCUGACCAUCCGGCAGUUGCAGAAAAACCCGAUGAUUCAGCAGUUGAAGAGAAACCCGAGGAAUGGAUAGUUGAAGAGAAACUGGAAGAAACAGCCGUUAAGGAGAAAGCCGAAGAACCAAAAGUUGAGGAGAAACUCGAAGAACCAGCAAUUGAGGAGAAACCUGACAAACCAGCGGUUGAAGGGACACCUGAAGAACCUGCAGUGAAAGAAACACCUGAACAACCAACGUUUGAAGAGAAACCUCAAGAACCAGCAAUUCAGGAGAAACCUGAAGAACCAACAGUUGAAAAGAAACCUGAAGAACCAACAAUUGAUGAAGAACUUGAAGAACCAACAGUUGCGGAGAAACCCGAAGAACCAGCAGUUAAAGAAAAACAUGUAGAACCAGCAAUUGAAGAAAAACGUGAGGAACCACAAGUUGAAGAAAAACAUGAGGAACCAGCAGUUGAAGAAAAAACUGAAGAACCAGCAGUUGAAGAAAAACCUAAAGAACCAAAAGUUGAGGAGAAACCUAAAGAACCAGCGGCUGAGGAGAAACCCGAAGAACCAGCAGUGAAAGAAACACCUGAAGAACCAGCGGUUAAAGAGACACCUGAGGAACUAGCAGUUGAAGAGAAACCUGAAGAACCAGCAAUUGAAGAGAAACCUGAAGAACCAGUAGCUGACAAAAAACUUGAGCAACCAACAAUUGAGGAGAAACCUGAAGAAUCAAUAGUUGAAAAGACUGAAGAACCAGCAGUUGAUGAAAAAGGUGAAGAACCGUCAGUUGAAGAAAUACCUGAGGAGUCGGCAGUUGAAAAUUUUGAAGAAGCAGCAGUAGAAGAGAAACCUGAAGAACCAGCAGUUAAGGAAAAAACUGAAGAACCACCCAUUGAAGAAAAACCCGAGGACCAAGCAGUUGAAGAGAAACCUAAAGAACUAACAGUUGAAGAGAAACUUGAAGAACCAAUAAUUGAAGAGAAACCUAAAGAACCACCAGUUGGAGAAGAACCCAAAGAACAAAACAGGGAAGAUACUGAAGCUGCCACAGAAAGAAUUGAUGAAUCUGGAACACAUAUAGUAG